rnacentral:rRNA from 1 species
UACGUAGGGUGCGAGCGUUGUCCGGAAUUAUUGGGCGUAAAGAGCUCGUAGGCGGUGUGUCACGUCGGCCGUGAAAACCUGCAGCUUAACUGUGGGCGUGCGGUCGAUACGGGCAUCACUGGAGUUCGGCAGGGGAGACUGGAAUUCCUGGUGUAGCGGUGAAAUGCGCAGAUAUCAGGAGGAACACCCGUGGCUAAGGCGGCUCUCUAGUACGGUACUGACGCUGAGACGCGAAAGCGUGGGGAGCGAACAGG